CCGCCGGCGACCGGCGCACGGGUGAGUAACACGUAUGCAACCUGGCCGUGACAGAUGGAUAACCGGGAGAAAUCCCGCCUAAUACAACAUAAUGCCGGGAGGGGACAUCCCCUGCCGGUCAAAGGGGGCGACCCCGGUCACGGAUGGGCAUGCGGCGCAUUAGGUAGUUGGUGGGGCAACGGCCCACCAAGCCGACGAUGCGUAGGGGUUCUGAGAGGAAGGUCCCCCACAUUGGAACUGAGACACGGCCAAACUCCUACGGGAGGCAGCAG
rnacentral:rRNA from 1 species